GACGAACGCUGGCGGCGUGCUUAACACAUGCAAGUCGAACGAAGUGGCGAACGGGUGAGUAACGCGUAAUCAACCUGCCCUUCAGAGGGGGAUAACAGUUGGAAACGACUGCUAAUACCGCAUACUGAAGGAGGGGAUGGCGUCGGAUUAGCUAGUGGGAGGGGUAACGGCCCACCAAGGGGAUGAUCAGUCGCCGGGUCGAGGGGAUGGACGGCCAAAUUUGGACUGGGACACGGCCCAGACUCCUACGGGAGGCAGCAGUGGGGAAUCUUCCGCAAUGGACGAAAGUCUGACGGAGCAACGCCGCGUGAGUGGUGACGGCCCUCGGGUUGGAAAGCUCUGUUAAGCGGGACGCGGUACCGGAAUAGAAAGCCACGGCUAACUACGUGCCAGCAGCCGCGGUAAUAC
rnacentral:rRNA from 1 species